rnacentral:rRNA from 1 species
AAGUCGAACGGUAACGUGGGGAGGAGCUUGCUCCACCCUGACGACGAGUGGCGAACGGGUGAGUAAUACAUCGGAACGUGUCCGCUCGUGGGGGACAACCAGCCGAAAGGUUGGCUAAUACCGCAUGAGUUCUACGGAAGAAAGAGGGGGACCCGCAAGGGCCUCUCGCGAGCGGAGCGGCCGAUGACUGAUUAGCCAGUUGGUGAGGUAACGGCUCACCAAAGCAACGAUCAGUAGCUGGUCUGAGAGGACGACCAGCCACACUGGGACUGAGACACGGCCCAGACUCCUACGGGAGGCAGCAGUGGGGAAUUUUGGACAAUGGGCGCAAGCCUGAUCCAGCUAUUCCGCGUGUGGGAUGAAGGCCCUCGGGUUGUAAACCACUUUUGUAGAGAACGAAAAGACAUCUUCGAAUAAAGGAUGUUGCUGACGGUACUCUAAGAAUAAGCACCGGCUAACUACGUGCCAGCAGCCGCGGUAAUACGUAGGGUGCGAGCGUUAAUCGGAAUUACUGGGCGUAAAGGGUGCGCAGGCGGUUGAGUAAGACAGGUGUGAAUCCCCGAGCUUAACUCGGGAAUGGCAUAUGUGACUGCUCGACUAGAGUGUGUCAGAGGGAGGUGGAAUUCCACGUGUAGCAGUGAAAUGCGUAGAUAUGUGGAAGAACACCGAUGGCGAAGGCAGCCUCCUGGGACAUAACUGACGCUCAGGCACGAAAG